rnacentral:lncRNA from 1 species
UGUUGGAUGCUGCUAGGCAGAAACACUAUGAACUUUCACCCUAUGUAGCUAAAAAGACCCCAAAGCAAGGAAAGAGUGUGAAAACUUUUGGGAAUAAUUGAAAAAAAGUAUAUCUCUGCUAAAAGUAGGUAUAUACUAUAAGACAGGAGUAAGACAGAAGCUUCAACAGAUCUGCAUCAGAAAAGGGAGUGUGGGAUACUUUCAAGCCCUCACCUGCACCUCUGAAAUUCUUUUUUUCAC